GGUUAUGGCUCAGUGGUAGAGCACUUGCCUAGCAUGUAUGAGGCACUGGGUUUGAUCCUCAGCACCA
rnacentral:tRNA from 1 species